UACGUAGGGGGCAAGCGUUGUCCGGAAUUAUUGGGCGUAAAGAGCGCGUAGGCGGUCCGAUAAGUCGGCUGUGAAAGUCCAGGGCUCAACCCUGGAAAGCCGGCCGAUACUGUCGGACUAGAGUUCGGAAGAGGCGAGUGGAAUUCCCGGUGUAGCGUUGAAAUGCGCAGAUAUCAGGAGGAACACCGGUGGCGAAGGCGGGUCUCUGGGCCGAUAUUGACGCUGAGGAGCGAAAGCGUGGGGAGCGAACAGG
rnacentral:rRNA from 1 species